CCGGGGUACCGGCCGUAACCAUAAACGGUACAAUAGUCAAAGUCGUAACGGACGUUAACUUACAUUCUUUUAGUAUUGAGAGCGGUUAGUGGCGGACUAGGUGAGUAACACGUAAGCAAACCCUGCCUAUCUAGAGGGGGAAGUAACAAGUGAGAAAUACAUUGCUAAUACCGCAUAUGCUCACAGUAUCACAUGAUACAGUGAGGAAAGGAGUAAUCCGCUGAUAGAUGGGCUUGCGUCUGAUUAGUUAGUUGGUGGGGUAACGGCCUACCAAGACUACGAUCAGUAGCCGGACUGAGAGGUUGAACGGCCACAUUGGGACUGAGAUACGGCCCAGACUCCUACGGGAGGCAGCAGUCGGGAAUAUUGCGCAAUGGAGGAAACUCUGACGCAGUGACGCCGCGUAUAGGAAGAAGGUUUUCGGACUGUAAACUAUUGUCAUUAGGGAAGAUAAAAGACUGUACCUAAGGAGGAAGCCCCGGCUAACUAUGUG
rnacentral:rRNA from 1 species